rnacentral:rRNA from 1 species
GAUGAACGCUGGCGGCGUGCCUAAUACAUGCAAGUCGAGCGAACGGACGAGAAGCUUGCUUUUCUGAUGUUAGCGGCGGACGGGUGAGUAACACGUGGAUAACCUACCUAUAAGACUGGGAUAACUUCGGGAAACCGGAGCUAAUACCGGAUAAUAUUUUGAACCGCAUGGUUCAAAAGUGAAAGACGGUCUUGCUGUCACUUAUAGAUGGAUCCGCGCUGCAUUAGCUAGUUGGUAAGGUAACGGCUUACCAAGGCAACGAUGCAUAGCCGACCUGAGAGGGUGAUCGGCCACACUGGAACUGAGACACGGUCCAGACUCCUACGGGAGGCAGCAGUAGGGAAUCUUCCGCAAUGGGCGAAAGCCUGACGGAGCAACGCCGCGUGAGUGAUGAAGGUCUUCGGAUCGUAAAACUCUGUUAUUAGGGAAGAACAUAUGUGUAAGUAACUGUGCACAUCUUGACGGUACCUAAUCAGAAAGCCACGGCUAACUACGUGCCAGCAGCCGCGGUAAUACGUAGGUGGCAAGCGUUAUCCGGAAUUAUUGGGCGUUAAGCGCGCGUAGGCGGUUUUUUAGUCUGAUGUGAAAGCCCACGGCUCAACCGUGGAGGGUCAUUGGAAACUGGAAAACUUGAGUGCAGAAGAGGAAAGUGGAAUUCCAUGUGUAGCGGUGAAAUGCGCAGAGAUAUGGAGGAACACCAGUGGCGAAGGCGACUUUCUGGUCUGUAACUGACGCUGAUGUGCGAAAGCGUGGGGAUCAAACAGGAUUAGAUACCCUGGUAGUCCACGCCGUAAACGAUGAGUGCUAAGUGUUAGGGGGUUUCCGCCCCUUAGUGCUGCAGCUAACGCAUUAAGCACUCCGCCUGGGGAGUACGACCGCAAGGUUGAAACUCAAAGGAAUUGACGGGGACCCGCACAAGCGGUGGAGCAUGUGGUUUAAUUCGAAGCAACGCGAAGAACCUUACCAAAUCUUGACAUCCUUUGACAACUCUAGAGAUAGAGCCUUCCCCUUCGGGGGACAAAGUGACAGGUGGUGCAUGGUUGUCGUCAGCUCGUGUCGUGAGAUGUUGGGUUAAGUCCCGCAACGAGCGCAACCCUUAAGCUUAGUUGCCAUCAUUAAGUUGGGCACUCUAAGUUGACUGCCGGUGACAAACCGGAGGAAGGUGGGGAUGACGUCAAAUCAUCAUGCCCCUUAUGAUUUGGGCUACACACGUGCUACAAUGGACAAUACAAAGGGCAGCGAAACCGCGAGGUUAAGCAAAUCCCAUAAAGUUGUUCUCAGUUCGGAUUGUAGUCUGCAGCUCGACUACAUGAAGCUGGAAUCGCUAGUAAUCGUAGAUCAGCAUGCUACGGUGAAUACGUUCCCGGGUCU